rnacentral:rRNA from 1 species
CCUACGUGAAGCUGCAGUGGGGAAUAUUGGACAAUGGGCGAAAGCCUGAUCCAGCCAUGCCGCGUGUGUGAAGAAGGCCUUCGGGUUGUAAAGCACUUUCAGUGGGGAAGAAAGCCUUGGGGCUAAUACCCUCGAGGAAGGACAUCACCCACAGAAGAAGCACCGGCUAACUCCGUGCCAGCAGCCGCGGUAAUACGGAGGGUGCGAGCGUUAAUCGGAAUUACUGGGCGUAAAGCGCGCGUAGGCGGUCUGAUAAGCCGGUUGUGAAAGCCCCGGGCUCAACCUGGGAACGGCAUCCGGAACUGUCAGGAUAGAGUGCAGGAGAGGAAGGUAGAAUUCCCGGUGUAGCGGUGAAAUGCGUAGAGAUCGGGAGGAAUACCAGUGGCGAAGGCGGCCUUCUGGACUGACACUGACGCUGAGGUGCGAAAGCGUGGGUAGCAAACAGGAUUAGAUCCCCGGGUAGUC